AUGGAUGGGCAGAGAUGGGGCAGGGGCAAGGGGGGAAGGGGACACGGUUGUACCGGGGUUGGAACCGGACACAGGGACACGAGGGCUGGGCGGCUGCUCCCCUCCAUCGGGCUCCCGGCGGAACCUCGCCAGGUCCUGCACGCACGCCUGGCCCACGUGGGGGCGGUACCCAAAGCCCUGCGUGUCCAACACCCGCAGCCGGAUGGGGGGCACGUACUCCUCCUCCACCGGCAGGUGCUGGGACGGAGCCGUGCCGUCACCCCGGGGUGCCAGCACCCACGGGUGGGCUCUGCUCCCCGUCCCCGUGUGCUCACCAGUGUCAGCAGGAAGGCGUUGAUGGGGAAAUUGGGGUUGGUGGUGAGGUCGGUGAUGGGGGGGAUGCGCAGGACCUGCCCCCCGCACUGCACCUCCAGGCUGGGGGCACGCACGGGCAGCAGGGAGCGGCCACGGAGCCCCCGCAGCCCCCACGCCAGCACCUGCAGGGCCCACAUGCAUUCACCCAUGUCCCUCACCCAUCUCCGUCCUUUCCUGCACCCCUGUCCUUUUCAUCCCCGUUUCCAUCUUCUUCAUUGCUGUCUUUGUUGCCUCCCAGUCUCCCUCCCUGCCCUUGUCCCCUUCCCAUCAUCAGCCCAUUCUCCACCUCUGCCCUGUUCUUGUGCCCAUCCAGAUCCCCAGCCCAUCUCCAUUGCUGUCCCUGUCCCCAUUCCUGUCCUCAUUGCUGUCCUGUCUUUGUCCAUGUCCUUGUCCCCAGCCUCCCUGUCCCCAUCUUGUCCUAUCCCAUCAUAUCUUGCCCUAUCCCAUCCCUUCCCUUUCCAUUGCAUCCCAUCCCGUCCAAUCCUGUCCCCUUCCAUCCCAUUUUGUCCCAUCCCAUCCCAUCCCAUCCCAUCUCACUGUCCAUGUCCCCAUCCUCUUCUCAUCUCACUCCCCAUCCCUGUCCUCAUCCAUGUCCUUGUCCCCUCCCUGUCCCAAACCUUGUCCCCACCCUUUCUCCUCCCUGCCACCCCUGUCCCCAGCAUCACCUCCAGUGCCAUCAGCCGCAGGACCGGCCGGAUGCCCGGGGGGAUGCUGAAGGUGCCCUGUCUCCACGGCGGGGUGCUGAGCCGAGCCACCGCCCCGUCCUAUUGGGGUGACGGGGACGUGAAUGCUGGGGACAGGCUCUGGGAGCCCCCCCACACCCCCUGCUGCCCACCUCUCACCUCAGCCUCGUGCAGCAGCUCGAAGGCAGCCAGCAGUUCCCCAGCUGGACCCCCCGGCCCCUCCAGUGGGUAUCUCUGCAGCCGGGGGGGCUUCCGGCGCCCCACAUCCAGCCACACUUUUGGGGUGCACACGCUUCUCCCAAGGAAGCUCCCAGCACCCUACAAGGCAGCGGCAGGGCAUGGGUGCCCCCACCCAUGGGUGCCCGCUGCCUAUAGGUGCUCCCCACCCAUGGGUACCCCCGAAGUACCCCUCCAUCCUGAUCGAACACCUCCACCACCACGGCUGGGGGCUCAUCCCGCACCCCACGUGGGUCCCCAUAGAGCGGCACCCGAUGGAAGAGCAGCGCCUGAUCCCAAACCGGGUCCAGAGUGCCGGGCAGCACGUGGGUGCUCUGGCUGA
ensembl:lncRNA